ACGUUUUUAGUGAGCUUUUAUUUUGUGUAUUUUAUUUUCUUGAUGUGAACUUUGACUCCGAGUGUGAUGUCACUGCCUGUGCUGAUUAGCCCAGGUGCGUGCUGAGGAGAGGUGUGCUAAUAGAAACCCUCAUGAAGCCACUGAUUUAAACCAAUUUCAUCCUGAAGAGAGCAGUGGUCCUCGUGUACUUCAAGCUGACACAAGACCGAAGCAAUAUGAAGUGCCGCGUGAGCAUUCUCCCUGAGUCCAGCCUGGUGGUGUUUUUUUUUCUUUUUCUUCUGAGAGCCGAGCGGAGCCGAGCAUGAAAGUGACUUCCUCGAUCAUCUCCGCAGCCCGCGGCGUUCUGUUCAAUCCCUCCAUCGCCAUGAUGGACUUCAGGGUCACGACUCGCUUCCUCCUGGAAACACGCCGUUACUGAGAGGGGUGUUAAGAUGGGAGAUGCUGUGAACUCCUGCAGCUGCAGAGUGAAGCAGGAUUUGCUCUCUGUCCCGGAGGUCCACCUUAAAGCAACGGGGAGUGAUUAGCUGCGGCAGCUUCGGCCAAGCGAGACUUUCAUGGGCGUUGAUGAACACAUCAUCCAUCGCUGGGAUUAAACGCGACUAUUACCCGUAAAGUGUCUGAGAUUCUCUCGCCGUGAGGUCAUGCCGCCGUCCAAUCGCCGCAGUAAACAAAAGGGGGUGGAGCUGUAACUCAACUUUCCCUUCUGGAACCAA